GCACCUGUGGCUCAAAGGGGUAGGGCACCAGCCCCGUAUACUGGAGGUGGUGGGUUCAAACCCGGCCAGGGCCA
rnacentral:tRNA from 1 species